CAUUUAAUUGUAGUAUUGUUGUGGAUGUUUUGCAUUUUUAACUUCUUUAAAACAGAUAAAAAUAAAUUUCCAGUAUGGAUUUCAUAAUUACUGGUAUAUUAAAAUUAGUUGAAAAUUUGCAAACACAUAUAAAGAAAAUAGAAAAUAUACAGUACAUUCAAAAGGAAAUAGGAAAUGUUAAUUUCCAGUUGGUGUAUUUGUGUGUUAAAAGUAAUAUCUUUGUGAGUGGAGCUGUAUGUGAACUGUACAUAAUAAGUGUGUUUACCCCUUUAAGUGAAUUACUCAGAGAGCUGUGUGGUUCAGCCUAUUUGGUGAACUAAUAAAAACAGGAGGCUGCGUUUUAUACUAUGUUUCCUUGGCAGUGGCGGAGGCAAUGGCAUGAGUGAGAAAGAGAGAGAGAGAGGAAAAAAAUCAAACUCAUUUUUAUCUGGUCAAGAGAAAAUCUACUAUUGAAUGUUUUUGAGGAGCAGAACGUACAAGCAUUUUGAAGAACAAGAAGCAUGCCAGUGUGUAGAAGUAGUGAAAUGAGAACUUCCUGAAUAUGGCUCCAUUGCAAAUAUGAAUGAUUGGGAUUCAUGUCAGAAAACACCACACAACACCUAUCUUUAAAGGAGAUAUAAAAAGAUGUUACCAAGUAGUAUCACCACUUGGCCAUGUCGGAGGAACUAAAUCAAAGAAAAGACAUGGACUGGAGAAGACGCCAAGAAAACCACAUAUUUAAUGGUUUCCUCAAAAGUUCAGAAGCCACUCAUUUGGAGGAACAGCAAUGGCUACAACAAGACGGCACUGGCUAUUCCCACCAAAUCACCACUAUAAAAGGUGCAUUUCCUAUGAAUCAAAGCUGGACUUGCGUUCCAGCAAAAAGUGUAACGGGUAUCACUGUAGUCUGCUAACACGUAUAUCUCCAUUACACCAUACUUUUGGCAAUAUAUGGGGAUUAUCACAUCUAGUAUGACAAAUAUGUGUCAUCUCUUGGGGUUCCCCUUACAUUGUUUACUACUUUUAGUUUCAAAUUAGUACACCACUUGACUUUAUACAGUGCAACAUAAAGGAAACUGACAAUAAACACGAGGUGCCUUCUGUACAGUUUCAUUUUUAACUUAUUUUUAGCAAAAGUAAAA